UACGUAGGGACCAAGCGUUGUUCGGAUUUACUGGGCGUAAAGGGCGCGUAGGCGGCAUGACAAGUCACUUGUGAAAUCUCCGGGCUUAACUCGGAACGGUCAAGUGAUACUGUCGCGCUAGAGUGCGGAAGGGGCAAUCAGAAUUCUUGGUGUAGCGGUGAAAUGCGUAGAUAUCAAGAGGAAUACCUGAGGUGAAGACGGGUUGCUAGGCCGACACUGACGCUGAAGCGCGAAAGCCAGGGGAGCAAAACGGG
rnacentral:rRNA from 1 species